AAAAAAGUUUUAAUUUAUUAUUAUUAUUAUUAUUAUUAUUAUUCAGUUUCCAAAUCAUAUGAUUGCACAAGAAAUUGCAGCGGAAGAAAUCCGCAACAGUCCAAAGAACACUGUUUCUACCUUGGAACGGCUGCACGCAGUCGUACCUCAGAGAGCUUAGUGAUAAAUCAUGUAUUUUUAAUGAAUAUCAAUAGAAGGAGUAUCCCCCCCACCCCCUUCCCCAAAAGGCAGGAGCCGGGCUAUCUAAUUAGAUUAAGCGGCGGUGCGGGGGGAACAGCGCGGUAAUGACGGCUGUAUCACGGCCGCCACUUUCUAAUGGGCUCUGAAGCAAACUAGGGGGCCUUUCAAACCAUUAACACCGAGGGGGGAAAUAACAAAUCUAAUCUGACAUGACACCCUUCUGUUUCAGUCUGCCUCUUAACCAGAAAGCCUCCAUUACUGGCAAAGUCCCUGCGUCUAAUGCCAUCUGACUCCCCGACUUGUGUGUUCAUGUAGCGCAUCUCUGGAGACCAAGAGGACCUAUUAUUAUCAUAAUUGACCAAUUAUAGGUUACACUCUUAAUGUUUGUUUACACAUGCACAACCCCCGUAAAACAUUAAUCGUGCAAUAAACAGUGCAUUGGAUUAUUGAGUAUUUUUUUAUUAUUAUUUUUAAUUAUUUUUAAUGGGAAAUUUCACGUGAUCAUUUAAAUUAUGGGAAUGUAGCAUAUAAAUCAAAGAAUAUUGAUUACAAUAUACAACCACAAUAGGUCUUACAAUUUAUAAAGGGGCAAACUGAAGUUUGGUGAACUCCAGAAAGUUUGAUGCAUGAAGAUAGAUGUUCAUUUGCGUAAAAUAGCAAUUUGGAAAAUAAAAUUUGGAGUCUAACAACGUUUACCCACAUCCGCACUAAUAAUGCAUUGGACGUUUAUCCAAGUCUUUUUUUUUUUUUAUGCAAGCCAGCGAAAUCAUCUUGGACCGCAAUGCUCACCUACAAAUUAAGUAUUUCUACAUUAACCUAUCUCUCUGACAGAGACGAACCUUAUUUAAAGGCAGAAUUAAAUUGUUGCCAUGCGCAUAAUUGUAAAUAUUUUCUGCUAAAGUCUUGCAGCAUUUUUUCAACGUAUAAGUGAAUACAAUUCAGGAAAUGAAUGUAUCAUAUUUUUCAUUAACGUAAACGAAAUAUCUAAACCAUGCAAGUUUCAAACAGGCUAUUGUCAAUAUAUACAGUCACGCACGCCGACUACUCCUAGAACCAAUCGACUAUUUCAUAUAUUUAGUCAUCAUCUGUGAUGCAUUGCAGCACGCACCAUUGCAGUAAACACACCGAUCCGAGAAAUAUGAUAAACAAAAGUAUUAUUGAACAAGCACGAAAUUAUUCAAACGAAAUGUCGAUUACGGGAUCUUUGUGUUGUGUUGCAGUCGUUUUUAAUAUAUCUUAAAUACUUAAUGUAGACAAAGCUGUCCUGUGCCAUAAUCUUUGAUAAAUACACAUGAUACAUUUCUGCUUUAAAUAAGUUAAUAAUCCCAAAUGUAAAGCAAAGAAAACAAAAAAUCUAUAUAAAUAUCCAAUUUCGAAAGCUUUUUUUAAAGGGAGGGGUCAAGUGCGCAAUCUGAUUUGCACGCUCAACGUUUUAAAAAGGUUUAUGUUCUGAAUGACCACAUUUGACCUAUUUGUUGCUCAGUCAUAUGAAAUCCCAAAAUUCAUUUAUAAUAAAAAAAGUAAAAAAAUGUUGCCAUCACCUUCAUCUUCUCCUUCCAAAGGUUUUGGUUUCAUUAAAAAGUGAGGACGAGUAUUGUCCCUGGUUUCCAAUACCAUUGUCCAAUCACGCCACAAGGUGGCAAUAAAGAGCUUUGAAGCGACUUCUCAGCGUGCAGCUUUGCAGCAUGGAGGUCCAGAGAGGCAGAGGCCGACAGCGAGGCGGCAAUCAGUCAUCUCCCAAGCCAUCAAGCUGCUACAUUCAACAAGACUGAUGAUGACUACGCCAUAAAACUGCUGGCGAUGAUGCUCACGUGGAUGGUGAAAAUCUGGAACUCUAGCGUCUCGGCAACAUUUUAAUAAUUGCCAUUUUACAAUUUAUGCUGUACGCUUUAUGGUUUUAAUGGUCUAAAACCGUGCUUGCCAAACUUUUUGCAUCAAGUACCACCUAAAAAAAAAAAAAACUUAUUAAAGCUCUCAGAGUCCCAAGACCCACAUUAAAAUAAUGACAUCUUGCCCCGCAAAGUUUGAGAUAGUGCAAUUAUAUUAUCCAUCUACUCGUUCAUGUAUGGCCAAUACGUUUGCUGAUUCAUUAAUUUUUUUAAUUUAAAUAUUUUUUUUGUCGCUGCCAAACGUUGCACAUUUCCAUCCUUUUAUCAGAAAUAUAGUGCAAAUGACAAAUGUAUUUGCUUCCCAAGUAAAUGUUUUUGCACCCAUAAAAUUUUAGGUCAUACUGAUUCAAGUAAAAUGACUUGCACGUAAAAAUUAAUUGAAAAAUACCUUAGGUUUCAUUUGUGACUAUAAUUCCAUCUAUUACAGUUUUUAUCGCAAUCUUGACGGUUUUCUUGCAAUUUGUCUUGCCUUCGCAUGAUCAGUACCAUGGACAGCUCAUCUCUCCUGCCCCUCCCGUUCCGUCGGCUGCAUUUACGCCGAUUGACCGCACCUCCGGCUCAUUUCAACACCUGCUCCCGACUUGUUAGCCGCCCUAUAUAAACCCCGCACACCCAGCACUCUGUUUCAAUUCCUUCUGUUGCCCUACCUGUUGUCUGGCCACGUUGCUAGCCGUUAUGCUACCUGGCUGUUACCCCAAGUUGCCAUCCUGUAUGCUUCUCGUGUUGCUCCCUGUUGUCCAGCUUUCCCCCAAGUAGAUAAAAUCCAUCCUGCACAUGGUGCCCUGUCUCCGCCCAUGACAAAUUAUCUUCCUUUUACAUUGAACCAGUCAAGAAAUUAAAAUUUUUGAAGGGUAAUUUUUACAAAAACUGAGACCAUGAACAUUAUGCACACUGCUUCACUCAGACUGUUUGGAAACUCGGAACGUUGUUCAAAUGUGCUGUUUAGCUAUUCAGAGUGCUUCCAAAAAUUGAGCCCAGGAAGGUGUGCUCUUCUGCCUUCAUGUUUACUGCUUUGCCUUACUGUUUUUAAAUAGUAAUACUAUUUUAACUUAAGUUGUAUUAAAACAUGGGAAAUACUGUAUGA